rnacentral:rRNA from 1 species
UACGUAGGGGGCAAGCGUUGUCCGGAUUUAUUGAGCGUAAAGAGCGUGUAGGCGGCCAUACAGGUCCGUUGUGAAAACUGGAGGCUUAACCUCCAGACGUCGAUGGAAACCGUAUGGCUAGAGUCCGGAAGAGGAGAGUGGAAUUCCUGGUGUAGCGGUGAAAUGCGCAGAUAUCAGGAAGAACACCCGUGGCGAAGGCGGCUCUCUGGGACGGUACUGACGCUGAGACGCGAAAGCGUGGGGAGCGAACAGG